rnacentral:lncRNA from 1 species
UUUUCAUCAAAGGGGAGGCAACUCCCCAGCAGCGGGCUUCACACCUUUCCCGCCCUUAAGUAUGUGUACGUUGGGUGCAGAACCGUUUGGUUUUCCCGAGGGGUAGGCAGAAUUUCCAACCCCACGAGCUGCUCCCUCUUUCCGCAAACCUCCUAACCCCGGGGUUUUUCCAUAAAUGUGUUUACUUCGUCCACGCCAGCCUGCGAAGUUCCAAAAUGGAGUCUGGGCCACGCCGGCGUUCUGGGCACGACUACGGUCUCUUGAAAAGAUUUGGAAUUGACCAUGUAGAUAAUCUCUGAGAGCAGUUCUUAAAGUGUAAUCCAGAACCGGUGGAACUUGCUAGAAACGCAUAUUCUUCGGACCCCCUCCAAAUCUGCUGAAUCUGAGAUUGUGGAGGCCAUUCAAUGUCCCUUCUUCAGGAAUUUGGAAAAAGGAUGGAGAGAUCUCUCUGAGCUAGACUCUUCAGUGGAGGAAAUGUUACAACUCAUGGACAGUGGCAUUACCAUCUGCCUUAGGAACGGAGCAGCCUCUGUCUUCAAGAAAAAAGAAUGGAGCACACAAGGAGAAGAAAACAAGCAAGACAGGUAAAGAAAUGCCUGGUUGCAGUCCCUCCUCAGACCAGGCAGCAGUUUUGGUGUUGCGUUCCUUUAGAUGUUUAUUGUCCUUAAAAUAAAUUCUUCUUUUUAUUUAUGUUAAAUUGAUGUGUUACUUGGAAACAAAGGACUUCAGUAAUACAGAAGAGUGUUUGGAUUUCCUUGCAGAUAUUUUAGCCCAAGAGAGUGAUUUAGAUAGUUUCGAUGAAAUUUUGUAAUAUGCUGUAUUUUCCUUCUGGCAGGCCAGCCUAAUCCAUAAGUAAUGUGAUGAAUGGUGGAGAGUGACCUCAUCAAGCCCCAAUGAAUGUACAUUGUUGGGUGGUUUCCAAACUGGAUGGUUAAUCAUCAGACUUGCCUGGAGGCACUUUUUAAAAAAUCAGAUUCAGGACUCCCCUCUCCCCCUUAGCUGUGGAAGGAGAACAGUAGAGGGAAAACAGGAGAGAAAUUAGUUUUGCGUAAGCGUGCCUGGAUAGUUUUGAGAGAUUCCAUGUCAGACAUUCAACUUUCUUUUAAUAUUUUCUCUUAAAAAACAAAACAAAACAAAACAAAACCCUUGCUGAUAACGUGCUUGUGCUUACCAUAGGCCUUUUCUCACUUUACAAAGAAAGACCCAUCACCAUCCCAAAUCAAGCUGGCCUUGGGUAUGAGAACUCCUAGGACACCAAAGAGAAGGUUCCUACGAUGAUGUGGUUCCCAGAUAAGGCUUAGAAACUCUCAUUUAGAAAACCUUAUUUCUGAGAGUAAAACCAGCAUUAGAAAUGGCCAUUUUGGUAUUGAGAUAUUUGGUUGAGUGUGAUGGUAGGAGUAAUGAUAAUUGUUGUUUAACAUCUUUCUUCCUUAAUCUGAGUGGCCCUGUCCUAGUGGUUCCUCUAAAUAAGGCAGCUGUUAAAGAAUGCAUCACCUGGUGAGUAAAAAAAGAGGAUAUUGGGCCAGGCAUGGUGGCUCAUGCCUCCGGCACUUUGGGAGGCCGAGGCAGGUGGAUCACCUGAGGUCAGGAGUUCGAGACCAGCCUGGCCAACAUGGUGAAACCCCGUCUCUACUAAAAAUACAAAAACUAGCUGGGCAUUGUGGCGUGUGCCUAUAACCCCAGCUACUUGGGAGGCUGAGGGCAGGAGAAUGGCUUGAACCUGGGAGGCAGGGGUUGCAGUAAGGUGAGACUGCACCAUUGCACUCCAGCCUGUGCAACAGAGCAAGACUGCCUAAAAAAAAAAAAACAAAAAAAAAAGGAUAUUGGUAUGAAGGAGUGACUGUCAAUAUAUUUAAGUAUAUGUAAAUAUUGAUUAUUUUUUACCUCUUCAAUUACUUAUUCCUAAAAUGUAUCAUUGAUUAGAAAGGAACCCAUAAACAUAUACAUCUACUACGUACCCACAAAAAUUAAAAAUAAAAAAAUUUUAAAAAGGAAAGGGAAGCAACUAUAAACACCCAAAGCAGAAUAGGUGAAUGAUUCUGACUAUUUUAAAUGUUUUUCAUGACUACCCAAUUUUUCAGGAAUAAGUCAUGGAUAAAUUUUUUAUUUAUUUUGGACUUGCUGUAUAUUAUUACAUAAAGAAUAUAGUUAGAAUUGAUUAUCAAAUCAUCAUGAAAUAUUUAUUUCAAAUAUGGUCAAUUCUCAUCUUUAAAAAUAUUUUUUGAAUGAAGCAAUUUUUUUUUAGAAACAGGGUCUUGCUCCAUCACCCAGGCUGGAGUGCAGUGGCAUAAUCCUAGCUCACCAUGGCCUCAACCUCCUGGCCUCAAGCUUCUAGCCUUCUCCCUCUUUGGCCUAAUUCUCAUUUUUAUUUAUUAAAUUUUGCAUAUUUCCUUCUUUCGAUUAAUAAGAAAUAAAAUGCUAGCUUCUGGAUUUUUUUAGCAAUGCAUACACUUUUCUUUCAUUAAUUCAUAGGGAAAUUUUGAUCAUAUAUUUAAACAAAAUUACAGAGUUUGAUAUUUUUUAAAUUAACAGACUGUUUUUUAGAGCAGUUUUAGGUUUACAGAACAAAUGAGUGAAAAGUACAGAGUUCCCAAAUCUCUUCUUGUUUCUCCCCCUCCCAACAUUUCCCUGAUGAUUAAUAUCUUGCAUUAGUAUGUUACAUUUGUUAUGAUUGAUGAGCCAAUAUUGAUUCAUUAUUAUUAACUAAAGUCCACAGUUUACAUUAGGGUUAAUUCUUUGUGUGGUACAUUCUAUGGGUUUGGACAAAUGUCUAAUGACAUAUACCCACCACAACAGUAUCGGACAGAAGAGUUUUACUGCUCUGAAAUGCUCCUGUGCUCCACCUGUUCAUCCAUCUCUCCCCCACAACUCCAGGAACAACUGACCUUUUACUGUCUCCAUAGUUUUGCCUUUUCCAGAAUGUCAUAUAGAUGGAAUCAUAUAGUAUGUAGCCUUUUGGGGUUGGCUUCUUUCACUUAGUAAUAUGCAUUUAAGGUUCCUCUAUGUCUUUUCGUGGCUUGAUAACUCAUUUCAUGUUAGUGCUGAAUAAUAUUCCAUUGUAUGGAUGUACUACAGCCUGUCCAUUCACAUAUUGAAGGAAAUCAUUGUCAUGUUCAAGUUUUAGAAAUUAGAAUGAAGCUGCUAUGUUUAUUAUUAACUAAAUAAUAAUAUGCUAUAUGUUAUUGGCAUAAAUAUGUUAUUUAUUAACUAAACAUUCAUAUGCAGGUUUUGGGUUAGUCAUAAGUUUGGGUGAUACCAAGGAGCAAAACCAUUGCUGCAUAAUUAAGAGUAUGUUUAGUUUUGUAAAAUACUGCCAAACCGACUUUCACACUGGCUGUAUCAUUUGCAUUCCUACCAGCAAUGAACUGAAGUUUCUGUUGCUCCACAUCCUCAUCAGCAUUUUGUAUUGUCAGUGUUUUCCAUUUUAGCUAUUUAAAUAGGUGUGUAGUAGUUUCUAAUUUUUUGUUUUAAUUUGUAAUUCCCUAAUGACAUAUGAUGUUGAACUUCUUUUCGUAUGCUUAUUUUCCGUCUGUAUAUCUUUUUUGGUGAAGUGAGAUCUUUUCAUGUCUUUUGCCCAUCCUUUAUCAGAUAUGCAAAUAUUUUCUCCCAGUCUGUGGCUUGUCUUUUUAUUUUCUUAAUGGAGUUUGAUUUGUAUUCUUGGUUCUUAUUCUUUCUCAACAAAUGAACACCAGAGUUUGAUCAAACUAAAUUUUUCAGAAGAAUACUAUGCCUUUUAUGAUACCUCUAACUUCACAAAUAACCUAAAAGUUUAGUCACACAUUCUAUUACAUUUUUACAAAGUAUCACGUUGGUGGGAAAAAGUUUUUGCUUUGUUGAAAUUUGCCAUUUGAUAUUGGAAUACAUUCUUAAAUAAAUGUGGUUAUGUUAUAGAUCAUUUUAAUGCACAUUUCUUACUUUUUUUGGCUAAUGAAUUAUUACUUGCAUUUAUUUUAUAUGUAUUUUAUUUAUUUUUGAGAUGGAAUCUCCCUCUGUCACCGAGGGUAGAGGGCAGUGGUGCAAUUUUGGCUCACUGCAACCACCACCUCCUAGGUUCAAGCGAUUCUCCUGCCUCAGCCUCCCGAGUAGCUGGCAUUACAGGCAUGUACCACCACACCUGGCUAACUUUUGUAUUUUUAGUAGAGACGGCAUUUUGCCACAUUAGCCAGGCUGGUCUUGAACUCCUGACAGGUGUUCCACCCACCUCGGCCUCCCAAAGUGCUGGGAUUACAGGCUGACCCACUGUGCCCAGCCUAUUUUAUAUUUAUUUUUGACUAUGGAAAUGAUGUUAGACAAAAAGCAAAUUCAAGUGAUUUUCUUAUUCGAGUUCAAAAUUGUUGAAACAGCAAAUUGAUUUAUUAUCUUGCUUAGCACGUUUGAAUAACAUGUUAUAAAAUGAUAUAUUAAUUAUCAUGUUAUUGAUUUAAUCUUUUUUAGUAAUAUUAUGUGGUACUUCCCUGAAGAUAUUUCUCAGUUGUUUUUAACAAUGUUUUUGAGAUAUGAAUUAAUACAUUAAUUUGAAUUGAAAAACAAAGUUAUUGCACACUGAUUAAUUUUUGAGAAAAAAAAGAAAAAGUCAGGCUUUAUAUGAAAGUGAAAUAAGGCUGAUUGGAUUGACAUAGAGGAUUAGCUCUUUAGGUUUUGUGGCAGGUAUUUUCCAAGACUUGAAUGUAUUCUUUCCUCAGCACCCAGUUUUGAUAAAAGUAUAUGUAAAAUGUAUUAAUAACAGUUUACUGAAAAAAAUUGAAUUGACAGAAGUGUAAUGGAAUUAAAAUUGAUAUGGAUAUCCUAGUCCUGUCUAAAUCCAAAGGAUAAAACCUGAUGCCUCGAAGUGAAAGAGUAACAACCGUGGUCAGCCAUCCGUAUCCGUGGGUUCAGCAUCUGUGGAUUCAACCAACCUCAGAUCAAAAAUAUUCAGAAAAAAAGUUGUCUGUACUCAACAUGUACAGACUUUUUGCUUUCUUCUCAUUAUUCCCCAAACAAUAUGGUAUAACAACUAUUUACAUAGCAUUUACACUGUAUUAGAUGUUACAAGUAAUCUACAGAUGAUUUAAAGUAUACAGGAGGAUGUGCAUGGGUUAUAUGAAAAUACUAUGCCAUUUUAUAUUAGGGACUUCAAUAUCCGUGGAUUUUGGUAUCCAAGUGUGCAUACACAAAUACACCAAUUUAUGGCCGGGCGCGGUGGCUCACACCUGUAAUCCCAGCUACUCGGGAGGCUGAGGUAGGAGAAUUCCUUGAACCCAGGAGGCCGAGGUUGCAGUGAGCAGAAAUCGCACCACUGCACUCCAGCCUGGGCGAAAGAGCAAAACUCCAUCUCAAAAAAAAAAAAAAAAAAA